GACGAACGCUGGCGGCGUGCUUAACACAUGCAAGUCGAACGGAAAGGCCCUGCUUUUGUGGGGUGCUCAAGUGGCGAACGGGUGAGUAACACGUGAGUAACCUGCCCUUGACUUUGUGAUAACUUCAGGAAACUGGGGCUAAUACCGGAUAUGAGCUCCUGCUGCAUGGUGGGGGUUGGAAAGUUUCGGCGGUUGGGGAUGGACUCGCGGCUUAUCAGCUUGUUGGUGGGGUAGUGGCUUACCAAGGCUUUGACGGGUAGCCGGCCUGAGAGGGUGACCGGCCACAUUGGGACUGAGAUACGGACCAGUAUGCUACGGGAGGCAGCAGUGGGGAAUAUUGCACAAUGGGCGGAAGCCUGAUGCAGCAACGCCGCGUGCGGGAUGACGGCCUUCGGGUUGUAAACCGCUUUCGCCUGUGACGAAGCGUGAGUGACGGUAAUGGGUAAAGAAGCACCGGCUAACUACGUG
rnacentral:rRNA from 1 species